UCUGCCUGAAUAUCUUCUUCCCCCU
rnacentral:piRNA from 1 species